GAGCAAGUAUGCGCUUGCGUGGCCCUCGGAGAAUCUCGUUCCAUUUUUACUUUCCCCUCUUCUUGUUUUUCUAUAUUUCCUUUUCCACUUUACCAUCCUUUCUCUUCUCUUUUCCUUCUACCCGAAAGCCGAUUCAAUCUCCGAGGGCCUACAAUUGUUUUGCUUUGCUUGAAUUCCGACUUCGACACGUUAAAUUAAAAUCACCGAUGACAAUCAACAACCGAACACGCUUCGAGCUGAUACAAAUCCUGGAACAAGAGAUUUCUUCAAAAUUUUCAAGUGACGUCAAGGCAACAUUUGUGGAAACUGCUAAGAAGUAACCAGACAUCUAACGCUAAUCCAAUCUGACAUGAUCAGUGGUGUCGAAAUUCAGAAGACAACGAAAGCAAAAUUAUUCUCCGAUGAAUAACAUCGGCUAUCAAGGAUUUAUGUAAAUAAAUUUAUACAUACAAACUGUAUAUAUUUAAUCUGUACAAAGAGAGAGAUGUAGAGUACUGAUGUCAAAAGUACAACGCUACUCAAGUCACCCGCCCGGUGAAUGGGAAUUUUCUUCAAAGUUUGCCACUAGCCGGAGUUGCGGAUUACUACAACCUGAAGCUACCGUAAUUAUGAAUUAUCGAGAUACGUGCUGUGGACCCAAUUUGGAAUGACCUCGAAACACAACAUCUUUUACUUGAAGUUCUAUCGACGCGUGGAAAGCAGACGAAGCUUUGAAGAGGAAUGCUGCACUGCGCCACAAAUCGACGCACUCGCUCACACAACGACGUGUCUGAUUGGUCGAAAUGAGAGGACGCCAACAUGGGACGACCAAUCACAGUCAUCGAUAGAAGUUUCAAAGUGCUUCGAAACUUUAAUACUAAACUUAAGGGAAAGGUUCGUUAAAAAUUAUCGACGCCAUAUUGAAAUAAAAUCAAGACUACUUUUCUCAACUUUAAACACCAAAAUAUAAGAAACAAAGUAGAAAAAAUAUAAGAUAUUGACGGGAUUUAAGAAAUUAUUGAUAUAAAAGCAGAAUAAAUGAAGGAAAUGUUAUUUUAAUUCGUAUCUAUAUCGGCGUAAUAGUAAAAAACGAGAAAAUCAAUUAUCAUGAUAUAUAACAAUAAAUUACGGGAAAAAUGUACUAAGAACAUGAAAAAAUGCAAUAAUAUUCGAAAAAUUAUUGAUAUACAGGGAAAAUAAUUCAGAUUCUGUUCUUCCAACUUCAUUGUCAAUUCACGGCAAGAGCAAAAAAUUUCAACUCACGUAUUUUUAAAGAUAACCUCGAAUUAAUGUCAAAAAAUUAAUGUCAUCAGCUAUUUUUUCUUUUUUUUGUAUUUUCAACACCCGAACGACCAAAGUUUAGCUAUAUGUUGUCAUUUUAAGAAAAAAGUGGACUGUCAAGACAAGUUAAAUGUUCUAAUUCUUAAUUACAGAAAAUCAAAAGAUAUUGAUUCUUGUAUAAAUUUCUUAUUUAACUCAUAUUAUAAUGGUCAUGGAUUUACUGCAACAUUUUUAAAAAAACUUUUAGAUCUCUCUGAACAUGAAAUAAAUACAAUUAUUACAUUUUUAACAGCAAUGAAGCGCUAUAAAGCACCAAUACCGCCUGCUGAUGUAGAAGAUAUACUAGACCAAAUUUCGUAUAAGAAUUUUAUCUUAAUAAAUAACUUUUAAAUUUUGCUUUAA